UACGGAGGGUGCAAGCGUUAUCCGGAUUCACUGGGUUUAAAGGGUGUGUAGGCGGGUAUUUAAGUCAGCGGUGAAAUCUCUGAGCUCAACUCAGAAACUGCCAUUGAUACUAUUUACCUUGAAUAUCGUUGAGGUAGGCGGAAUAUGUCAUGUAGCGGUGAAAUGCUUAGAUAUGACAUAGAACACCGAUUGCGAAGGCAGCUUGCUAAACGAUUAUUGACGCUGAGGCACGAAAGCGUGGGGAUCAAACAGG
rnacentral:rRNA from 1 species